UACAGGGGGUGCAAACGUUGCUCGGAAUCAUUGGGCGUAAAGCGCACGUAGGCGGUUCGUUAUGUCGGAUGUGAAAGCCCUUGGCUUAACCGUGGAAGUGCAUCCGAAACUGCGAGGCUCGAGUAUGGAAGAGGGUCGCAGAAUUCCCGGUGUAGAGGUGAAAUUCGUAGAUAUCGGGAGGAAUACCAGUGGCGAAGGCGGCGACCUGGGCCAAUACUGACGCUGAGGUGCGAAAAGCGUGGGGAGCAAACAGG
rnacentral:rRNA from 1 species